rnacentral:rRNA from 1 species
GUAGGUGGCUUGUCGCGUCUGCCGUGAAAACCCGAGGCUCAACCUCGGGCGUGCGGUGGGUACGGGCAGGCUAGAGUGUGGUAGGGGAGACUGGAACUCCUGGUGUAGCGGUGAAAUGCGCAGAUAUCAGGAAGAACACCGAUGGCGAAGGCAGGUCUCUGGGCCAUUACUGACACUGAGAAGCGAAAGCAUGGGGAGCGAACAGGAUUAGAUACCCUGGUAGUCCAUGCCGUAAACGUUGGGCACUAGAUGUGGGGAACAUUCCACGUUUUCCGCGUCGUAGCUAACGCAUUAAGUGCCCCGCCUGGGGAGUACGGCCGCAAGGCUAAAACUCAAAGGAAUUGACGGGGGCCCGCACAAGCGGCGGAGCAUGCGGAUUAAUUCGAUGCAACGCGAAGAACCUUACCAAGGCUUGACAUGCACCGGGCGACUCCAGAGAUGGGGUUUUCUUCGGACUG